GGCCUUGGGGGUCAUGGUUCUCCCGCGCUCCGGGUGGGCUCGUGGUGAGACGAGGGUGCGCAGAACGCUGUGCGCAGUUGGCUGCACUCUGAACCGGAACAGGAAGAGCUGCCGGCGGGUCACCUGCCCCGAGUGGCCGCAGCAGCAACAGACAUGGAGCCACACUAUUCCCAUCAUCAGGGACAAUGAAUAAGUCUCAUCAAGUAGCAUUGGUUGGUCUAGAACUCAAGAUCUUCCUGUCUCCACUUCCCAAGUAAUGGAAUCACAAGUGCAUACUACCUCACCUGACUCUAUAUCUCGUCCCGUCAACCGUACACGGCAUUCUUGUUCCUCCAUGCUGUAAGAUGCUGAUUUUCACACAGCUCAUUGGCUACAGCCUGUGUUGGUGGCAGCCUCUUCCCUCAGAAGCCCAUCUCCAAUCUCUUCCAUGUCCUUAAACAUCUGGGAGACACUUAGACCUUCUCGUGGACCUAAAGAACCCUGGAUCCAUAUCUGUUCCUGGGACAAUGUACUGGUGUUGAGUAGCCCUAGCCCUUUGAUACAAAGAAAGCAGCAGCUACUGAGUGCAUUCUAUACUCGAACCACUGUGCCUUGUAAUUUGCACAGAUUAUCUCUAGUUUUCUUAAGAAUCCAGUGAUAUUUAAGCUCCAUGACUACAAGGACCACGCCUGCAUCUCUUGCCACUGUGAGAAGACACUAUGCCUGACAUAACUAUAGCUACAAGGCAGGAGCUCAGAAGCAUUUAUUGAAUAAAUGCAUGUAUGAAUGAAUAAAUAAUCAAAGAAGACAUUUUCAUAAAUAAGAAAGCCAAGACCCAAAGUAAUUAAAGAAAUUGAUCCGAAUUCAUACAGCUGAUGGGGCAGUGGGGAACAGCUAGGAUUCAAAUACAACAGCAUGGAGGAGAAGGGAAGAGGCCUUGGACCACUUCAGGGCUAACUAUACAGAAAGCACCUGUAAUUAUAGACUCCCUGGACAUUGCAAAAUCCAAACAUCAGACACCUUCUGGUUGAUCCCUACAGUGAUAAGGCUGAGAAGCCAGUGUUAUCAUCCAUCUCGUUAUCUUCACAUUUAAAUGGGUACCUGAGAAUUUCUUUGUGUUUGGAGAUGCUGAGAUGGUGUCUGCCGUUUUCCAUCCAACAGCUGACUGUUGUUUUUGUGGUGCUGGGGUUAGAAUCCAGGACCCUGUGUACUAUGCAAGGGUUCUACUAUGGACCACAGCUCCAGCUAGCAAGCAGCUGGUGGGGCUUUGCUCUUCCUUGUUACUUCUGCUGCAUUUUCUCUUAAUGACAGAGUCCCACUCUUAUGCUAAGGUCUGGCAGGUGGUAAACAUUCAGUAAUUGUUGAUUUAAAUUGAAUUCUACUUUAGUAUCUGAGAAGAUAUAUGACUACUUUCUGGGGACAUGUUUGAAAACAUCAUUUGAAAGUUGUGUAUGGGACUGACAAGAUGGCUCAGCAGAAAAGAUGCUUGCUGUGCAGGCUCGGCGACCUGAAUUCCAUGAUUCCCAGAACCCAUGUAAAGGUGUAAGGAGAGAGCUGACUUUACAAAGUUGUCCUUUGACCUCCAUAGAAGUGUCCCUUCCCCCAACUAACAAUACAUAAUAAAUAAAUUCAAAGGUUG